CAAUAGCGUAUAUUAAAGUUGUUGCAGUUAAAAGCUCGUAGUUGGAUUUCUGGUGGUAGCGUUGGGCCGGCCCUAAGGGUCUGUGCUCAAAUGUUUACUGCCAUCCUUCAGUGGAUCUUGUCUGGCAUUCAGUUGUCGGGCUUGGAAAGCUGAUCGUUUACUGUGAAAAAUUAGAGUGUUUAAAGCAGGCUUAUGCCGUUGAAUAUAUUAGCAUGGAAUAAUAAGAUAGGACUUUGGAACUAUUUUGUUGGUUUGCGUUACAAAGUAAUGAUUAAUAGGGACAGUUGGGGGUAUUCGUAUUUCGUUGUCAGAGGUGAAAUUCUUGGAUUUCCGAAAGACGAACUACUGCGAAAGCAUUUACCAAGGAUGUUUUCAUUAAUCAAGAACGAAAGUUAGGGGAUCGAAGACGAUUAGAU
rnacentral:rRNA from 1 species